ensembl:lncRNA
GUCUGCACAGUAAGACUAGUAAUGAUAGUAAUAAGAAGUCAUGUUAUGUAUUCUACCAGCCUCACUGACCAAUUAUAAGUGUGGAAGUAAAAACCUUUUGUAAUGGUAACGAGCUGUGUAAAUAUUGGUUAUUAUUAUCUUAGUUAUUUUUCUCAUCCAGGUCGGUGCUCGAACAUAACCGAUAAUAGCUGUUGAUUACACUGAGUCGUGGGGUUGCUUUUUUCUGGCUUUCAUGGUUCCCAAGACUUAACUUGCAUUUGGUUCGAUUUGUCAGUUAGCUGUUUAUUCCUACCUCUCUGCUGGUAUAGACACUCUCUCCUGUGAAUGCACCAGUACGGACCCAACAUUGCUGGCUCUCGUCUCCCCUCCCUUGCAUCCGGCCAUUGUUCCACUCAUGAAACUCCCAUCCCAAUCAAUGGGAGUUUUACGUAAAAACCGAUGACAGGAUGUGAGUGCAGCUUCAGGAAUUCCAGGCUUGUGCUGCUGAUAAAGAGACUUGUGUCCGACUGAACACACCAGAGAAACAGAAUUCUCCUGUCCAACCUGUGCUGGACAUGUUUUUCUGGGUUUUGUUUUGUUUUGUUUUUACUUUUGUCUCUGUCUUCAAAGAGUCAGGAGUCCUUCCAGAAUAUAAACCAUGUAUCUUUUACAAGGCCCCCUUGUGAGUAGUUUUAGAUGCCCAUCUAGGGAGCCAGACACCCAUUGCCAUGGCCCCUAUCCACCUGUGUCCCCCCUCCCCCACCCCGGCCACUGUUUUCUCAGUGUCUUUAUGGUAAUGGCUUAUGGGAAUACAAGGCCAGUCCUGAAGCUGGUUGAUUCACGGGGAGCUAGUAUUUCAGUCCUUCCAUAUGCUCUACUUUAGCAUCGUCUUCCAGAAAGGAGAGCUUUUUCAAAUCUAGGAAGGACUAGAUUUGAACACUCCUGAUUAAAGAGUGUCAGUUGCUUUGGGGUAUGAUGGUCUGUUUUAAGUGUCAAUGGAACCAAAAGGUUUAACUGACUUAAGUGUGAUUGAAGGGACAACAGUAUGGAAGAUGCACCUUGAAGAUGGUCCUUCUACUAGGGUUGAAGUCAGGAAUGAUAUUGGCUCUUCCCUGGCAUGUGGAGACUCAACAGGCAAGCUUUGUCUUUAUUCUCAUCAUGCAUCAGUAAUAUUUUAAGGAAUAUGUGAAUACUUUAGUAUUACAAGUAACAUUGUAUCUGUCUUUCAUGCUCCAUGACUCAACCAAUAUGACUGUGUGACCAGGGGCAGAAUGAAGAUGAACGUUUGCCCAUGUUCUACCCACACUAACAUAGCUAAGUAAUGAUAAGAUUUCACAAAGGAAAAUGGAGUUGGCUCUGUUCAUUUUUAAAGUGCUCAUCUAGACAUUGAGGAUUGAGCUUGAGAGCAUCUCUUGAAAUCUUCUUCCUGAACAUGUUGAACUGGCUGUUAGGGUUUUAUUCUUAGCCAACAAGAUUGGGAUUUCAGAGUCCACAGGGUAGCCAUCCAGCUGCUCAGACACCGAUCUGUGAGCUCUGCAGGAACCACAGUCCAGCCCAGAUCAGCCCUACUGCUUCUUUCUCCAUGAAAACACAUGACUGCCAUGACCCUGUAUGCUGUGUGGAAGGAACAUUCUGUGCUUUUCUGUGCCAAAACCACAGCGUGAUGGUAAAAAGAUUAGAGAACAUCUCAAAUAUAUAUUUUAAACUGUGAAGACCAUCUCACACAUGGAAAUAAAUUCAGCCUUGCAGAAGAUUCGUUUUGUUUGGCAGUGGUAUCUUUCUUUGGGAGGUUGGAUUCUGUAAAGGUUCUGGCCAAACUCUCAUCCUAUCAUAUGAGCCAUGUCUGAGAUGUCUUGCCUACCCCCAUACAGAGUUGGAAAGCGCUCAGGUAACACUUUCUCAUCUUUUUCAAGUACCACUACAUUUCUGGGUUUAAAUUAAUGUGGGUAGAGGGCAGCAAUGGUUUCUUGGGCUGUAGAAGCGAAGAUCUCUCUUGAAAGUAUUGAUGGAAAGGAAACCUGGUGAGAGAUGUGGACCUUGUACAAGUUUUAGGAGAAGAAAUUUGAGAAAUGUCAUCAGUACUUUCUCAGUACAUCAACUUUCUUAGGCUUAUCUUAAAGGCAAAGGGAAGUGGAAGCUUAGGAAAACUGUCUUUUUCCGGGCUGUCCAAUAGAACUUUGUACCAAAGUGGAAAAGUUCUAUUCUGCACAAUCCCCUAGUCUGGCUAUUCAUGCAGUGGCUGAGCACUUGAAAUGUGGCUGGUGCAAAAGGGAACUAAAUUUUUCAUUUUGUUUCAUUUCAUCUUAGUUCAUCUACAUUUAAAUGGCAACAUAUGGCCAGUGGCUCCCAUAUGAGGCAAUAAGCCUGUAUGUUUCAAGUCAAAAACUUGUAUAUUUCAAGUUAAAAAGCUCCUUAAAAUCUAAAUUCAGUUGAAGGAUAUGUUUACAUGGAUUAUUAUUAUCAUUAUUAUUAUUUGCCUCUUGUCUUUUUUUCUUUAAGAGCCGCACCUGCGGUGUAUGGAGGUUCUCAGGCUAGCAGUCAAAUAGCUAUAGCUGCUGGCCUACGACACAGCCACAGCAAUGCAGGAUUCAAGCUGAAUCUGUGACCUACAGCAUAGCUCACCACGACACCAGAUCCUUAACCCACCGAGCAAGGCCAGGGAUUGAACCCGCAUCCUCAUGGAAUGCUAGUCGGGCUCAUUAACCGCUGAGCCACAACAGGAACUCCUACAUGGAUUAUUUACCAAAUGAAGAGUGGAUGUCUAGCACUACCCAGUACCACCAGUGCUGGCCUGGAGCUGGACAGGAGAUUACCAUCUAGUCUCUUGGCUUCAUCAUCAAUUCUACACUGACCUCUAAGGAUGCGAGGCUUGCUUUUCCCAUCUAUGAAAUGGGUGCAUUCGGAAUCUGUCACAGGGAUGUUCGCAAAUUAUGAGUAACUCUAUACCGGGCUUGUCAAAGAAAGGUAUGGGCUUUUUCUAGACACCUUUUCCUUGAAAAUGACCUCAGCCAAAGAAAAUCCUGUAGAGCUUGGGGAUGUCAGUUUCCAUGUUUGUAGAAUACUUGCCAUCGUGCUCAAUUAUUUUUAAGGUCAUUUUCAACUCUCUUGCUUUGUGCUGCCAUGGAUAUACGAUUUCCUAUUCCAGGGGAUUCCGUCAUGUCAGCAUGGAGUUGGCUUUUCUAGUUCUGAGAUCCCUACAAGUCGUUGUAGGGGAGAUUUCUCCUUAAGUGUCAAUGUGAGCAGAGCAACUUAUUUAGCAAACAACUAGUGGGAGGGGGGACUUUGAGCCCCCCUUUCCCUCCAGGGUGGGUUCCCUGGAUUGGCACUAUUUUGUGGUGCCAAGACCCACAUGCGUGGGGUCUCCAAGACCUGAAGCAAUUCCUGUCUUCCCUUCAUGGCCCUUGGCCAUGGACAAGAGGACACAUGACCUGCUCUGCCUGCCAUGGCUUUGGAAUUACCAUGAGGAGGAAACACCUAGUCCUUCUCUGGGGAGAUCUGACCCCCUUACUGAUGCCCUCUAACGAGCAGAACUCUGGUGGCUUUUGCUUUGGAAGUCUUCCAGCGGACAUCCCUGAAAUCAGGCCUGUGUCUAUCACUGAAUCGGUGGUACCCAUUUCUGAGUUGAAUUGUUUAAAACCAAGAUGGGUAGAUGUCCAGUCUAGCUCUAUAUGAUGGUUUUAGGGGAGAUGAACCAUUGUGGCCCUGCUUCUUACUCUUGCCCUUCAGAAAGGAUAAAAUACAGAUCAACCCACAGGCUUCUGUGAACCCCCAAUUCAAGGCUUUAAUGAUUUCACCCUGAUUACAUAAUAGAGACGAGCACUAGCUUGGUAGUUUUGUGGCUUGUGCAUUUUCAGAAGAAUCUCUUUCCUCCACCUUUGGUCUUUUCAGAUUGCAAUUCUGUGACCCUGUAAUUCAGUUACUCCUGGUACAUUGCGGCGAGCAUCCAAGGGUAGGUUUCCACUGUUUGCUGUAAGCCCCUGCAGGGCAGACACUCUGCUAGUUUGCCUUUGAGACCCCGGCACCUGGCACCUGUUCAUGUAUUUAUUGAGCACCUUCUGUGUACCAGGGGCUGGGAUACAGUGGUUUAAAAAAAAAAAAAAAAAGAUAGGCAAGGCUUUUGCUGUGUCAAGGAGGGAAAACGGAUACUGAGCCUGUUCUUACAAGUGCAAAGAGGUCUGUGAAAAGGGAAGUAGAAGAUGCUUCAGGAGAAUAUAAUAUGGGCACCUAACCUGGUCUCAGAGGUCAAAGGCUUCCCCAAGAAAGUGACAUUUAGGCUGAACCUUGAAUGACAAGCAGGAGUAGGUAUGACAGAGAACAGGCCUUGGAUAAGCGUUUGCUGAAUGAGUGAAUGAAUGAAGUACUGCUUUCCUGCACAGCUGACCCCAGUCUGCUAAAGGACACGAGCCCAGCGACUCUGACCUUCGUCCCUCUAGGUGGUGUCAGUGGAUCCAUCCCUGUCUUCAGUGAAGGCAAGUGACAUGGCGUAAAGAAUAUCUCCAGGGUACAGUUAAUCCUCAAAGACCUGAUCAGACCAGGGUUUGGCUGAGCCCAGAUGUUAUAUAUGUAUCCGUUGAUGUGCUUUCAAUAUGCAGUGCAUUCAGAAAUGUCAAGGACAAGAAGGUUUCCGAAGACCUACUUCCAGCUUUGAAGACCCCGGCGUGUGGGCUGGGCUUGUUCUCAGCUUUGUACAGCUCCUCAUGGGCAAAGUCAGGCAGCUCCCUGGCAAACAGAGCUCUGGAAGCUGUCCCUGCCGGCUUUGGUAUGAACUGCUAUCUGCCUUUCAGCACGCCCUGGACCUCCCCAGGCUCUGGUUUCCUCAACUGCAGAACAGGAAGAUUCUGCCAAUGAUAAUUUUACCUCGAAGCGAUGUUGUAAUAUAGAUGGCUGUAAAAGCAUUUUG